UCUUAGUGUCUAUAUUUGUCUGUGGAAGGGGGCUGGGCCUGGGCCGGCUGGGGUCUCAUGCCCACCGCUAUACUGAGGGGUUGAAGGUCAUUCCCAUGUUGAGGAGGGCAGUUCCCAGAAGGCAAGAGAAGGGGGCCAGAGAUGCUGAGUGAACCAACUGGGUUCACUGCUGGGUGUUUGGAGACCAGCCUCCCACAGGGGACGAGUUACAGGGGCACCUGCUGAGAGGUCGGAGACAGGGACCAGCGGAGACGGAGGAGGAAUAUUGAAAGAAAGAAAAAAAAAAGAGCCUCUAAAAACCCCACACACCAACAACCUCAGAACUCUGACUCUGAAACUUGGAAAUGUUACCUAAAUUCUGACAAGAAAGGGCUUGUACAUCUCUUUGUGUUCAGAAUCGGCUGCUGGAGAGCCCAGAGCUUUCUCGAGGCUGUGCCCUACAGAUUCAUUUCGGAUUUGACAUUUAGAAGAAUGUUCCACCCACGGCUCUUCUUUGUGAGACGAGAGUAUCUGUGAACUUAAUAUUCAGGUGGAUAAAUAGAUUGCUUGGAGAAAAUGAUCCCCUCUGAAAUGCUGUCCCCUGGCACUUGUCUUUUGGUCUUGUUUUGUUUUGUUUUCUUUAGGAGAACUGUGAGGGAAAGAAAGCAAAAUGCAGAAAUCCUCUGUGAUAUCCUCACUGCCCACGAUGUUCCCAGCUCAGAUGAGGCAUGGAAAGACCGAGUCUCGAAGGAUGGAUACCUUCCCCAAGGAAUGUAUCGGAGCCACCAGCGGCAGAGUUGGAAUUCGACUCCAGAACACCUGGCCCCCUCCUCCUGACCACCCCACCCGCUCCCUGCCUUCAGACACCCGGGAGGCCCCUCUCCUCCCAGAAGCUGCUCUCCCUGUAUCACCGGUGAGCGGGGUUUGCCUGAAGUAAUUGAUUGAACGUUACCCAGAAGCGGAAGCCAACCAAAGAGAGACGGCCACACUGUCCUUUCCAGAAAACCCAGCCCUGUCCGUCCCUGGCUCUCACUUCCCGGCACCCUCACUUGCGCAGCUUAGAAACGGUAAGCAGCAUGUUCCUCUUCCAAACAUACUUUGGCGAAAUAUGCAUGGCUCUGAAAACAAGGCCUGGCCACCUCCCGGGUGGAGCCCUGGGGAACUUGUCUCCUUGGUCUCCUAUUCUUGAUAACCUGACCCGGCCGCCUGCCCAGGUACAGAUUCCCUGCCCUGGGCGUGUGGCCGGUUCUCUGAGCUCCAUGCCUGCUGGGGACGAGGGGCGAAGAGCAUGCUGGCACCACGAGCUCAGGAGGGAAGGCACACGGUCCCCCAGGCCAGUGGCCGCGGCAGGAUGUCUUUCCCGGGUGACUCACCCAGACUCACAUGGGUCCCACGUCCCUGGGCGCCAGCUGGGCCCAGAUGGCCAAGAGGGGAGGCAGGGUCUUUCCACAGCUUUGCUCAGGAUUGAUGCUCAAGCCCCAGCUGAGGGACAGGGCGUCCUCGUCAGAAGGCUUGGCAGAGGCUCUCUUUACGAAGGGACUUAACCCACGAUUGCGGAAUGGAUGUGGCCUGACAUUAAGAUGUUUUAUGACUCUGAUUAAGCAGGAGGGGGGAGCUGGAGAGAGGUGGUGAUUAAUCCUCCCACGGAGGAGCUGGCCCCCAUCAUCCCCACUAGACAGAGAGGCUGGACAGCAGGGGAUGAUUGCCGCU